GCUUUUAGCUUUUUAUUUUUGUAUUAACAGGAGUCUUAUUACAUAUAGGUCUGAUAAAACUGGUUUAUGAUCUUCAAUCUGUUUCCAGUGCUGCAUAACUAGAUAAUGUAUGAAGGAAAAACGACGACGAACAAAAAACCAAUUGCUUGGAAGACUUAGUUGAAUCUAUCCAUGAAAACAGAAUCAAUUAAACAUGUAUGUGUUACUUAGACUAAAUAUAAAUAACCCAUGUAAAUGGUAGCUCGAACAUCUCAAGUGUUUCAGAGAAUGUUAGAAUCUAUUGUUUGAAGUGUCUAUUGUACUCUAUGCAAGUUCUGUUUCCAAACAUUAGUAUUAGUUGGUGAUAUUUCCCCUUCAUAGGGAAGGUAAAAAAGGUUUGUAGAGGUGGCAAACAAUAUUUGGUUUAAACUAGCAGGAGACAAAGGAAUUCCAAGAAAGGCAAAAAUCCUUUCAGUAGUUUUCUGAGGAAAAUGCACAAUAUCUUCAAACUUGACCAGCUGGUAGCUAGUAGGCAGCAAAUCUGUAUUUAUUCUCAAGGCUGCUGCUGUAUUUGC
rnacentral:antisense_RNA from 1 species